rnacentral:rRNA from 1 species
AUUGAACGCUGGCGGAAGGCCUAACACAUGCAAGUCGAGCGGAUGAAGGGAGCUUGCUCCUGGAUUCAGCGGCGGACGGGUGAGUAAUGCCUAGGAAUCUGCCUGGUAGUGGGGGAUAACGUCCGGAAACGGGCGCUAAUACCGCAUACGUCCUGAGGGAGAAAGUGGGGGAUCUUCGGACCUCACGCUAUCAGAUGAGCCUAGGUCGGAUUAGCUAGUUGGUGGGGUAAAGGCCUACCAAGGCGACGAUCCGUAACUGGUCUGAGAGGAUGAUCAGUCACACUGGAACUGAGACACGGUCCAGACUCCUACGGGAGGCAGCAGUGGGGAAUAUUGGACAAUGGGCGAAAGCCUGAUCCAGCCAUGCCGCGUGUGUGAAGAAGGACUUCGGAUUGUAAAGCACUUUAAGUUGGGAGGAAGGGCAGUAAGUUAAUACCUUGCUGUUUUGACGUUACCAACAGAAUAAGCACCGGCUAACUUCGUG